AUUGAACGCUGGCGGCAGGCCUAACACAUGCAAGUCGAGCGGAUGACGGGAGCUUGCUCCUUGAUUCAGCGGCGGACGGGUGAGUAAUGCCUAGGAAUCUGCCUGGUAGUGGGGGACAACGUUUCGAAAGGAACGCUAAUACCGCAUACGUCCUACGGGAGAAAGCAGGGGACCUUCGGGCCUUGCGCUAUCAGAUGAGCCUAGGUCGGAUUAGCUAGUUGGUGGGGUAAUGGCUCACCAAGGCGACGAUCCGUAACUGGUCUGAGAGGAUGAUCAGUCACACUGGAACUGAGACACGGUCCAGACUCCUACGGGAGGCAGCAGUGGGGAAUAUUGGACAAUGGGCGAAAGCCUGAUCCAGCCAUGCCGCGUGUGUGAAGAAGGUCUUCGGAUUGUAAAGCACUUUAAGUUGGGAGGAAGGGCAGUAAGUUAAUACCUUGCUGUUUUGACGUUACCGACAGAAUAAGCACCGGCUAACUCUGUGCCAGCCGCCGCCGCUGUAA
rnacentral:rRNA from 1 species